rnacentral:rRNA from 1 species
UACGGAAGGCAGCAGUGGGGAAUAUUGCACAAUGGGCGCAAGCCUGAUGCAGCCAUGCCGCGUGUAUGAAGAAGGCCUUCGGGUUGUAAAGUACUUUCAGUCGUGAGGAAGGUGUUAAGGUUAAUAACCUUAGCAAUUGACGUUAGCGACAGAAGAAGCACCGGCUAACUCCGUGCCAGCAGCCGCGGUAAUACGGAGGGUGCGAGCGUUAAUCGGAAUUACUGGGCGUAAAGGGCACGCAGGCGGUUAAUUAAGUUGGAUGUGAAAUCCCCGGGCUUAACCUGGGAAUGGCAUUCAAGACUGGUUAGCUAGAGUCUUGUAGAGGGGGUAGAAUUCCGAUGUGUAGCGGUGAAAUGCGUAGAGAUGUGGAGGAAUACCGGUGGCGAAGGCGGCCCCUGGACAAAGACUGACGCUCAUGUGCGAAAGCGUGGGGAGCA